rnacentral:rRNA from 1 species
AGAGUUUGAUCCUGGCUCAGAACGUACGCUGGCGGCACGCCUAACACAUGCAAGUCGAACGAAGUAGCAAUACUUAGUGGCAGACGGGUGAGUAACAUGUGGGUAUCUGCCCUUUGGCCUGGAAUAACACGAGGAAACUUGUGCUAAUACCGGAUAAGUCUUUACGGAGAAAGCUUUAUGCACCAUUGGAUGAGCCCGCACUUGAUUAGUUUGUUGGUAGGGUAAUGGCCUACCAAGACUGUGAUCAAUAGCUGAUUUGAGAGGAUGAUCAGCCACAUUGGGACUGAGACACGGCCCAAACUCCUACGGGAGGCAGCAGUGGGGAAUCUUGCACAAUGGAGGAAACUCUGAUGCAGCGAUGCCGCGUGAGUGAAGAAGGCCCUUGGGUUGUAAAGCUCUUUCGUCGGGGAAGAAAAUGACUGUACCCGAAUAAGAAGGUCCGGCUAACUUCGUGCCAGCAGCCGCGGUAAUACGAAGGGACCUAGCGUAGUUCGGAAUUACUGGGCUUAAAGAGUUCGUAGGUGGUUGAAAAAGUUGGUGGUGAAAUCCCAGAGCUUAACUCUGGAACUGCCAUCAAAACUUUUCAGCUAGAGUAUGAUAGAGGAAAGCAGAAUUUCUAGUGUAGAGGUGAAAUUCGUAGAUAUUAGAAAGAAUACCAAUUGCGAAGGCAGCUUUCUGGAUCAUUACUGACACUGAGGAACGAAAGCAUGGGUAGCGAAGAGGAUUAGAUACCCUCGUAGUCCAUGCCGUAAACGAUGUGUGUUAGACGUUGGAAAUUUAUUUUCAGUGUCGCAGCGAAAGCGAUAAACACACCGCCUGGGGAGUACGACCGCAAGGUUAAAACUCAAAUGAAUUGACGGGGACCCGCACAAGUAGUGGAGCAUGUGGUUUAAUUCGAAGAUACGCGCAGAACCUUACCAACACUUGACAUGUUCGUCGCGACUCUAAGAGAUUAGAGUUUUCGGUUCGGCCGGACGAAACACAGGUGCUGCAUGGCUGUCGUCAGCUCGUGUCGUGAGAUGUUGGGUUAAGUCCCGCAACGAGCGCAACCCUCACUUUUAGUUGCCAUCAUUAAGUUGGGCACUCUGAAAGAACUGCCAGUGAUAAGCUGGAGGAAGGUGGGGAUGACGUCAAGUCCUCAUGGCCCUUACGUGUUGGGCUACACACGUGCUACAAUGGUAUCUACAACAGGAAGCAAGACUGCGAAGUUAAGCAAAUCCCUAAAAGAUACCUCAGUUCGGAUUGCACUCUGCAACUCGAGUGCAUGAAGCUGGAAUUACUAGUAAUCGUGGAUCAGCGUGCCACGGUGAAUGCGUUCCCGGGUCUUGUACACACCGCCCGUCACACCAUGGGAGUUGGUUCUACCUUAAGGCAAGGUUUCAAACCCUUGACCACGGUAUAGUCAGCGACUGGGGUGAAGUCGUAACAAGGUAACCGUA